rnacentral:sRNA from 1 species
CUUCGUUGGCUUGCUGUGGACAGAUAUAAUGAAUAUGCGUGUCAAUUCCUCCAGCCGUGACAAUCUUUCCUUCACCAGCCACGACAUCCGUGCAACUUCCCACAAUCAUGUUUGGCGUCACGCCCUCCAUGACGUCCGGGCUGCCUGCCUUGCCGAUACCCACAAUCAUGCCGUCUUUGAUACCGAUAUCAGCCUUGUAAAUCCCGGUCCAGUCGACAAUAAGAGCAUUCGUAACCACCACGUCCAGCGUAUCUUCAUCCGACUUCCCGGUCGCUUGGCCCAUGCCCUCUCGCAG